rnacentral:rRNA from 1 species
UACGGGGGGGGCAAGCGUUGUUCGGAAUUACUGGGCGUAAAGGGCUCGUAGGUGGCCAACUAAGUCAGACGUGAAAUCCCCAAGCUUAACUUGGGAACUGCAUCCGAUACUGGAUGGCUUGAAUCCGGGAGAGGGAUGCAGAAUUCCAGGUGUAGCGGUGAAAUGCGUAGAUAUCGUGAGGAAUACCGGUGGCGAAGGCGGCAUCCUGGACCGGCAUUGACGCUGAGGAGCGAAAGCUAGGGUAGCAAACGGG